rnacentral:lncRNA from 1 species
GUGCGCAGCCGCGAUGCCAUGUAAACAUAACGCGGUAGUUGGUGGUGGUGGGUCAGGGGUAGUGUAGCUAGCUGGUUUGAGCUAAAGCCCAAGUAAUUGUUGGGUAUAUUGUGGCGUAGCCGGCUUUGAUAAGGAUUUACAAUAUUGGAACAAUACGCUAUUUGUGCACUGUGUACCGCACACCGCGGAUGAAGAACUUUAGAAACGUUAGAGUUCACUUGCGGUGACAAUUGCUUUAGCUUCGAAGCAAUGAUAAAGCGCUUUGGGCUGGCUUGCUAACUAAGCUAGCUUCUCGAGUCUCGAUCUGUUUUUUAGUUUGAUAGCUAGUUAAGGAUUUCCUCAAAGUGCCCGUGCAACGAACCUCUUUAGCUGAUUGUAUUGUUAGUGUUGCCAACAUAGAUAAUGGUAUCACAUCAUUAUUCAACAUGAUUAGCUGAUUAGCUAACUAAGGUGAUUGGCCAGCGAGUGACUGAAAACAAGGAGACAACGUCAACCUCCAAAUACACAGACGCCUCAUCUCGACUGAUUUAGUGUCAUCAUAUGUUGACUGAAAGCAGGAAACGGCAGCACAGUGGUGGUGGAGAUGAGGAGAGUGGCCACCUGGUGCCCCAAGCCAAAAGACCAAACAGAGCCCACCCUCUGUCUCCUGAGCCGGGCCGUGAUGCCUGGGAUUCUGAGUCCUCCAACAGUGAGAGCAACAGCAGCAUCAGCAGCCCAGAACAUGCAGCUGGAAGCUGCAGCAGUCAGUGUUCCGCAGGCCCCUGUAGUCCCCUCAGCACGGACCUGUCUGGAUCUACAAACCCAGUGUCCUAUCGACAGAUCAACCGCAUCUUGAAGGAGGCCCACUUCCAGAGCUUGCAGAGCCGAGGGCUUGUUCCUGUGGCACUCCAUAAAGAGGCAUGACCUUUAUUCCACUGGACAUGAGAGCAAGUUCCUCGAGAAGCGCCAGUGUUGCUCGUGAGGGUCAGACACACAGACAUCAUUGUUGUUGUUGGUGAUAAAUUUGGUGUCAUGAUCCUGUGUUUGUUCGGUUUUCCUGGUUAUUUUAGGAUACUUUUUCCUCUUUUGCCCUCUUUUGGUUGUUUCGUGUUUUACUUCUGUGUCCUUUCUGUGUGUGUUUCCCUUCCUCCUGUGUUCCUCUGCCUUACUGAUUGCUGAUUGCUGAUAUUUAACUCCCAUGCUCCCCGUUUGAUUGUGUUGAUUUGUGUUUAUUCUCCCUGUUGUUAAGUUUGGUUCAUUGUUUCUGUUCAUUUACCUUUUGUACUUUUGUGUCACUGGUGGUUUUUGUUUGUCUAGCCUUUUGGAGUUUUUGGCUUUAAGUUUUGGAUUUAGUUUUACCUUUUUAACUUAAAACUUAAACUACCCUUUGUUGAAUUUAGUUUUUUUUGCCCUGCAUUUAGGUCCUCCUUCCUUUUUGAACACUAACCAUAGCUUGUGGUACCUGAAAACUAGAAGAGUCAAGAAAGGACUGGAGUAAACUUUCUGGCACCUGCUCAUGUACCCUGUCCCUGUAUGCACACAGUGUACAGACUAUACUCCAACCUGCUGUCAAUUCUUCUUACUGUGUUUAUUUUAUGCUGUUCCUAUAUUUUAUGCUUUUUUUCUUCUUUUUUAAUGUACAUAGCAGCUGCUGUGUGUUGAAUUGUUGCAUGCCCUGAAUUGCCCCCAGGGGACAAAUAAACAAGGCCGUGG